GCCAGACACCUGAUGCUGGUAGGUUCUGUCGCGUGAAGUUGGGCUAGUAUCUGUUGUGGUAGUCGUCCGUGGUGUCCCAGUAGGUUGGCUGGUGUCAGAGGAAUGGGAGUAGAAGAGCUGGGUAUAUGAGUUCCCUGAAUGCAGAGAGCAGUUGUUCCCAUGCUCUGAGCAUUCAGAGAUUACGCAGCCACAACCAUGCCUUUGAUACGCAUAAUUCAAGGGGAGCAGACACAAGCCAGUGGUUGCAGUAUCAUCGCUCGAGUGUUCUGUAAACGAUUUAUCAGCAAGUCGAGCUGAACAUGGACAUGAGGUAAGCCCUACCCUUGGUCAAAAUUUAGUUUCCUCAGCUUCUGCAUGGGAUUGUAAGGAUUUGGAUCACAAAAUCCAGCAGAUUUUCUCUUAUUUUUGGAUUAAUCUUCUCUUGAAGAAGAUGACAUUCUAAGCCGGGUGGUGGUGGUGCUCGCCUUUAAUCCCAGCACUCGGGAGGCAGAGGCAGGCAGAUCUCUGUGAGUUUGAGGCCAGCUUGGUCUAAAGAGCUAGUUCCAGGACAGGCUCUAAAGCUACAGAGAAACCCUGUCUCGAAAAACCAAAAAAAAAAAAAAAAAAAAAAAAAGUGAUGACAUUCUUAAACAAAGUUUCCU